rnacentral:rRNA from 1 species
AUUGAACGCUGGCGGCAUGCCUUACACAUGCAAGUCGAACGGUAACAGGUCUUCGGAUGCUGACGAGUGGCGAACGGGUGAGUAAUACAUCGGAACGUGCCCGAGAGUGGGGGAUAACGAGGCGAAAGCUUUGCUAAUACCGCAUACGAUCUCAGGAUGAAAGCAGGGGACCGCAAGGCCUUGCGCUCACGGAGCGGCCGAUGGCAGAUUAGGUAGUUGGUGGGAUAAAAGCUUACCAAGCCGACGAUCUGUAGCUGGUCUGAGAGGACGACCAGCCACACUGGGACUGAGACACGGCCCAGACUCCCACGGGAGGCAGCAGUGGGGAAUUUUGGACAAUGGGCGCAAGCCUGAUCCAGCCAUGCCGCGUGCAGGAUGAAGGCCUUCGGGUUGUAAACUGCUUUUGUACGGAACGAAAAGACUCUGGUUAAUACCUGGGGUCCAUGACGGUACCGUAAGAAUAAGCACCGGCUAACUACGUGCCAGCCGCCGCGGUAAGAC